AUUGAACGCUGGCGGCAGGCCUAACACAUGCAAGUCGAGCGAGCGGCGGACGGGUGAGUAAUGUCUGGGAAACUGCCUGAUGGAGGGGGAUAACUACUGGAAACGGUAGCUAAUACCGCAUACCAUCAGAUGUGCCCAUAUGGGAUUAGCUAGUAGGUGGGGUAAUGGCUCACCUAGGCGACGAUCCCUAGCUGGUCUGAGAGGAUGAAAAGCCACACGGGAACUGAGACACGGCCCAGACUCCUACGGGAGGCAGCAGUGGGGAAUAUUGCACAAUGGGCGCAAGCCUGAUGCAGCCAUGCCGCGUGUAUGAAGAAGGCCUUCGGGUUGUAAAGUACUUUCAGCGGGGAGGCGUUACCCGCAGAAGAAGCACCGGCUAACUCCGUGCCAGCAGCCGCGGUAAUAC
rnacentral:rRNA from 1 species